AGAAAUUAAACUCACCGGAAAACGCUGAACCGUUGUUGUUGGCCAAAGUCCGUCGCCCAAACAACAUCGAUAGGAAGCGGAAUUUGACUGAUAACGUUAGUUGUUUUCGGUGUCUUUUAUUUUCCUUUAGCUCAGGGGUCGUGUACUUUUUAGCCUGUUUUAGCAAAUACAAAAACGAUUAAUCUUUGUCUGUCGCACUGUGAGGAUGGGAGGUUUUUUGAUGGAGGCGUGUGUGGACUCCGUGGAGUCUGCUGUAAAUGCUGAACGAGGAGGUGCAGGUCGACUUGAACUGUGUUCUAGUCUGCUGGAGGGUGGACUCACUCCAAGUCAGGGUCUGCUGCAUGUAGUGAAGCAGUGUGUCAAAAUCCCAGUCUACGUGAUGGUGCGGCCUCGUGGGGGGGACUUCCUGUACUCCGACCAGGAAGUGGAGGUGAUGAAGAAGGACAUAGAGCUGAUGAAGACGCACGGGGCGGACGGGCUCGUCCUGGGCGCCCUGACUGAGGACGGGCGGGUUGACGCCGAGCGCUGUAUGGAGUUUCUGGCUGCUGCUCAACAUUUGCCUAUCACCUUCCACCGAGCUUUUGACAUGGUGCAUGACCCAGUAGCCGCCCUGGAGACUCUGGUGUCAUUGGGGUUCCAGCGUCUUCUGACAAGUGGCUGUGAGAACUCUGCUUUGGAGGGACUUCCUCUUAUUAAGCAGCUCAUUGAUCAGGUGUGUAUAAAUGAUAUGUACCUAUUUCCAUUCAAGCAUUUGAAAAUGGGGUUAUUUAAAAUAGGGCUAUUUGUCUGUGCUGCUUUGUCUUUUAGGCUGACAAGCUUGUAUCUCUUUCUUUAUGCCAUUCUUCUGUCCCACUUUCCGCCUUUUCUUUCCACUCAACAGGCGAAAGGGAGGAUUGCCAUCAUGCCAGGUCAGUACCUUUCACAUUUUCCCUGUAAAUUACGUUUCUGUUUUUUGUUGUUGUUAUUGUUUUUUUUAAACAGGAGGAGGAAUUACUGAAAGGAACUUGCAGAGGAUUUUGGAAGGUACGGGGGCUCAAGAGUUUCACUGCUCAGCCCGUUCCAGCAGGGAUUCCGCCAUGAAGUUCAGGAACACAUGUGUGACAAUGGGAGCUUCUUUCUCAGCACCAGAGUACGGUCUGAAGGUGGCAGAUGUGAGCAAGGUCCGCACUCUCAACGCGAUAGCCAGAAAUACCAUGUGAAUCGGUGAUGUGCAAUCAUGACAAAUAACAAAACAGAUACCUCAAAAGUGAUCAUUACUGCUAUGUCAUUGUUUACUUUUAUCACAGUACAGAAUAAGUAGACAUUUUUAAAACCUUUUUCUACUUUAUAUUUAAAUCUCUGAUCAAACAGUCCUAAUAAAGUUAAAGCUCAGGGAAAGCCUCCCAGCCUUCUGGGACAUGCAGUCACAGUAUCACGCAGUGCGGAAUGAUGAAUAAUUUACAUCUGUUAUUUUUCACCUGUAUUUUGACUCAGAAAAAGUGUAAUAAAAUACACAAUCCAUUUCAAAAUGUGAAAUCAUUGUGUUGCAGCCGCCAUUAGAGCAGAAUGUUUUCAAGUUGCCAUGUGUCGAGGGAAUUUCUCACAAGGAUAUUAUGCACUAAUUUCCACUGCACCAUGUAGGUGACAUAUUUAUUUUCAUGUUAUACUAUCGUUCUGUGUGUCUAAAAAAGUGACUAAACAAAGAAUAUGGAAAAGCA